CUUUAGUGUCACUCUGCUUGGCUGAUUGUAGGUUCUCCAGGAAAAUUUGCCAAAUAGAAUAAUGAAAUGAUGAACUAAUUGUUCUGACAAUUCAGGUGAACAGGAGUUUAGUGACACUUAGUGUUUUACUUCUACAUCUAUGUGUUCAAAGUACUCUUCUUUUUCUUGAUAAUGAAUCUAGAAGCUGGGAUGGAUAAUAAAAUUUCUAAUUUUUUAUAGGUUUUUCAGAAAUGUUGGUUCUUAAUGGAAGAAGAAUCAGUCAUUGCGAUUAUUCUUGUGGUAGGAUGCCAUACCACCAGUGUAGACCUCCUGCACUCAGGCUCAGGUGAGCAAGAAAAACAUAUCAUGGGCCUGGAGGAUUCCAUUGUCACAAUAUGUGUCACCACCUUCCAGAAUGGAGAACUGGUUAUUGCAUGAUUAUUUGUUAAGCCUUUGAGAAUAUGCUGAAGGAAUAACAACUUUAUUGUAACUGCUGCGUGACAACAUGGAGAGAUGCGUCCUGAUGUCAAUGAUGAUAAAGCAUCAAAAAGUGUGCAUCUUAGAAUGAACAAAUUCUAAGUUAGUUAUGAUUGUUGGGGCUAACACAUUUUCAAUAUGUAUUUUUUUUCAAUGCAUGAAGCUAAAAUGAGAAAUAAUUAUAACACUUCACACUUGUUUACAACUUUACAGCCUCCAAAGCAUUUCCCUACACAUUAUCUGAUUAAAAUUUCAGCCUAGAACCAACACUAGCAACAGCAUCGUUAUCUCUGGUGGUAGAUGACAUUUUUAAAACCAUGUCAAUGAUGUUAUUCUGCAAGUUUGUAUUUACACACUUCUUCAUUUCAUUUACUAGUUGUGGCAGACUGCAUGUCCACCAAAAUCCAUUCUCCCUUUUUUCCUGGUACAACUGGGCUGUAUUUUCCAGGCUCCCUGAAGAGUUAUGGCUGUGUGACUGAGUUCUAGUCAAUGGAAUGUGAACAUACAAGGUAUAUACUACUUUCAGGCCUGGCCCAUACAAUUAUUCAGUACAUGCUCUCCCCUCCAUUUAAACAUUGGAGACAUUUUACUGGGAGACAAAUGUGAAGAUGGUAUAGCCUCCAUCACUCUAGGUCUUUAAAUGGCUUUGUAGUUCCUGUUAUCCCCACCCUAAGCAGUUACAUAAAAAAGUAAUAAACAUUGUUCUUUAAGCCAUUGAAUUCUGAAAUUUAUGUGUCAUCAUGUCUUAGCUUGCUUUUUUAAUUAAAAAAUUUUUAAACUUUUAUUUUAAGUUCAGGAGUACAUAUGCAGGUUUGUUAUGUAGGUAGAUUGCAUGUCAUGGGGGUUUGGAGUACAGAUCAUUUCAUCACCCAGGUAGUAAGCAUAAUUUCCAAUAUGUAGUUUAUUGAUCCUCACCCUCCUCCCACCUUCCACCCUCAAUUAGGCCCUGAUGUCUAUUGUUCUCUUCUUUGUGUCUAUGUGUACUCAAUGUUUAGCUCCCACUUAUAAGUGACAACAUGCAGGAUUUGGUUUUCUGUUUCUGUGUUAGUUUGCUUAGGUGAAUGACUUCCAGCUCCAUCAUGUUGCUGCAAAGGACACAAUCUCAUUCUUUACUAUGGCUGUGUGGUAUUCUAUGGUGUACAUGUACCACAUUUUCUUUAUCCAGUCUACCAUUAAUGGACAUUUAGUUGAUUCCAUGUCUUUGCUAUUGUGAAUAGUGCUGCAAUGAACACACAUGUGCAUGUGUCUUUAUGGCAGAAUGAUUUACAUUCUUCUGGGUAUACACUCGGUAAAGGGAUUGCUGGGUCAAGUGGUAUUUCUCUUUUAAGUUCUUUGAGAAAUCUCCAAGCUGCUUUCCACGAUGACUGAACUAAUUUACAUUCCCACCAGCAGUGUAUGUGUUCCCUUUUCUCCGCAAACUUGCAGGCAUCUGUUAUUUUUUUGACCUUUUAAUAACAGCAAUUAUGACUGGUGUAAGAUGGUAUCUCAUUGUGAUUUGCAUUUCUGUAACUACUAGUGACAUUGAGCAUCUUUUUAUAUGCUUGUUGGCUGCUUGUAAGUCUUCUCUUGAAAAGUAUCUGUUCAUGUGCUUUGCCCACUUUUUAAUGAGUUGUUGGUUUUUUGCUUGUUAAUUUGUUUAAGCUCCUUAUAGAUUCUAUACAUUAGAUAUUUGUUGAAUGCACAGUUUGCAAAUAUUUUCUCCCAUUCUGUAGAUUGUCUAUUUACUCUGUUGGUUGUUGCUUUUGUUGUGCAGAAGCUCUGUAGUUCAAUUAGGUCCAAUUUGUCAAUUUGUGUUUUUGUUGUAAUAAAAUCUUUACCAGAGCCUAUGUCCUGUCUUAGCUUACUUUAACAAAUACAAUAGAUCGAGUUGCAUGUUUUCC
rnacentral:lncRNA from 10 species